rnacentral:rRNA from 1 species
UACGUAGGGUGCGAGCGUUGUCCGGAAUUAUUGGGCGUAAAGAGCUCGUAGGCGGUCUGUCGCGUCGAUCGUGAAAACUUGGGGCUUAACCCUGAGCUUGCGGUCGAUACGGGCAUGACUGGAGUUCGGCAGGGGAGACUGGAAUUCCUGGUGUAGCGGUGAAAUGCGCAGAUAUCAGGAGGAACACCGGUGGCGAAGGCGGGUUGCUGGGCUGACACUGACGCUGAAGCGCGAAAGCCAGGGGAGCGAACGGG